rnacentral:rRNA from 1 species
GUCUAUGGCCAUACCACCCUGAACGCACGAGAUGUCAUCUGAUCUCGGAAGCUAAGCAGGGUCGGACCUGGUUAGUAUUUGGAUGGGAGAUCGCCUGGGAAUACCAGGUGCUGUGUGCU